AGAAAGGGCGAUGUGGCUGUGAUCUCUGUCACCCCUUUGACAACCAGGGUUGAUUUGGCUGAUCUGUCUGGCUAGGUGGGUGUCCCCUUCUUUUCUCACCCGCUCCAUGUGUGUCCCUCCCCAAGCUGCAUCCUUGGUUGAAGAGGACAACUUUCCCCAAAUAGAGGAGAACUGGUCUUCUGUCAAGGGUAUACGAGUAUCUGCGCUCCCCUGCUAGAACCUCCAAACAAGCUCAAGAAAUAGUUUUUAAAUAUAGGGGUUCAAAAAAAAAGAACAAAUAACGUUUAUUCAGUGUCAACUCUAUUUUACAUUGUACU
rnacentral:snRNA from 1 species